rnacentral:lncRNA from 1 species
GGAGAGCAUAAAGUGGUCUAUGAUGAUAAUAAACCAACUGAGUUUUUCCAAUGGAUUGAUCUGAAAAAGGUAAUUCCAUGUUUUGUUGAAUAUAGUAAACCAGCAACUUAUUAAGGUUUAGCUGUUACAUUUUGAUUAAAGCUGCAGUGAAAAAUAUGUCAUCAAAGGAAACAACUAAACUAAAUCAUGUCUUCCUUCUUUCUUUACCUCUCAUCAUAAUUGCCUAACUAGACCAAAUCUUUUGAUCUAAUGCAAUGCAACCCAUAUCUUCUGUCAAAUACCAUUUUCUCCCCAUUUACCCGACAUUUUCCUUUGUUAUGUUGUGUCUUUAGUCUUUACCACCUCACAUUCUACAAGGUAAAAACGCCAUAUUUUUUAACGCCGUGUGUAUACUUGCUUGUGAGUUAUGAUCUCAUUUCCCUGAUCAAGGGACACAUUCUUGAUGAUCAAGUAAAUUUGUUGUAUAUUUGUCAAAAAGAUUAUAUCCUUUUGGCUUAAAUGUGUGUUUAGUCCCUGCACUUUCGCCCAGUUUUGGCAUUGAUCCCUACGCUUUUUUUUGUUUGGCAUUGGUCCCUGCACUUUCUAAAACUUUUGGCUUUAGUCCUUCCGUUAACUUUCCGUUAAAAAAAAAAAACCAAAACUAACGGUGUGCCACGUGGCCCAAUCAUGACACGCCACGUGGCACACUAAAAAACAAAAAAAAAAAUUAAUUAUUAUUUUAUUCAUUAUUUUUUUACUUAAAAAUAUCAUUAGUCCCUGCACUUUCAGCAUUUUUUUAUAUUAGUCCCUGCACUUUGGUAUUAGUCCUUGAACUUUUUUUUUUUUUUAAAUACUUUCAAUGAAAUUAUUAUGUUUUAAUUAUUGUUUUGUUCAUUAUUUUUAUUGAGAAUAAUCAUAAAAAAAUAAAAUCAAAAAAUCUUUGUUAAAAAAAAUUAAGUAAUAAUUGUAUAACAUGNNNNNNNNNNNNNNNNNNNNNNNNNNNNNNNNNNNNNNNNNNNNNNNNNNNNNNNNNNNNNNNNUAAUUUUUUUUAACAAAGAUUUUUUGAUUUUAUUUUUUUAUGAUUAUUCUCAAUAAAAAUAAUGAACAAAACAAUAAUUAAAACAUAAUAAUUUGAUUGAAAGUAUUUUUUUUAUUUUUUUAAAAAAAGUUCAAGGAUUAAUACCAAAGUGCAGGGACUAAUAUCAAAAAAUGCUGAAAGUGCAGGGACUAAUGAUAUUUUUAAGUAAAAAAAUAAUGAAUUAAAUAAUAAUUAAAAAUUGAUUUUUUUUUUUUUGUUUUUUAGUAUGCCACGUGGCGUGUCAUGAUUGGGCCACGUGGCACACCGUUAGUUUUGGUUUUUUUUUUUUUAACGGAAAGUUAACGGAAGGACUAAAGCCAAAAGUUUUAGAAAGUGCAGGGACUAAUGCCAAACAAAAAAAAGCGUAGGGAUCAAUGCCAAAACUGGGCGAAAGUGCAUGGACUAAACACACAUUUAAACCUAUCCUUUUUCAUAUUUGUAUUUUAAUUGAUGACAACAGUUCUUUACUGAGGAUAUACAAUGGCAAGGGAUUGAUCAUACAUGUAUACCCUGUUGGUGUUGGGAUCAGAGUGCGCAAAGUGGAAUGUGCGGAAGCAUGAAUUAUCUCUUUUUGUAGAACCUGAACAAUCCAAUAUACCAGCACAACCAACAACAACAAUAACAACAAUAAAAAGGAGUAAAAACUGUAAAUAAAAACCACGGACCUAGACCAGCCAAAAACUUCCACUAUAACACCUAUGGUUACGAUUAAUGUCUUCUUAAAUCUCUAGGAACCGACAAUCAUCAAAUAAUCACCAACUAUGAUGAUUCUAACAACCAACAAACCCUAAAUAGAUAUCCCAAACAGACACAAAGAGAAGACAAAACUACUUAGAAAAAUUAUCUAAGUAUCAAACUAGAUAACAAAAAUAACAUACUCAAAUUUCAGCCGAAACGGAGAUCGUUUGCCGAACACACUUUUGUCAUCGGAACCCAAAUAAUCUUCCUCUUCAGAAGUGCUGCGCCUCUCAAUUAUAUAUUUCACGCACACACCACUAUUGCAAAACUAGGGAAGAAUUCCCUUUUGCAACCACACACACACAUCACGUGUGGGCCUAGCCCAUCACACAUAGCACACACACUUAUAUAUUUUUUUUCUUUUCUUAAAUAAAUGUGUGGUCCCACUUGAGGAGGACCCACCCAAAAGUUGGGUUGGGGGAGUAACAACCAUAAGCAAAAUAAACGCCACACUCUUAUUCAAAAUUUUAAGAAAAUAAAUUUUUGAUAUUUUUAUUUAUAAGUGUUUAAUCUUUACUUUUUUAUCCGAUGUGAGA